UUCUCCUUACACCCAUUUUUCUUCUUCUUCUCGAGAGUGGUGGAGGCAGGAAGUUGAAAGUCUUUCAAAGCUAGAAGGCGAACGUCGAUGUUCUUCAUACUCGUACCACCAGCCAUGAUGUCACUUGAGGAACCCAAGAGACGUUGAAUGAAAUGGAUAAAACUCAAAUUUUCAUUCCCUAUUUAUAAGUUGUUGCUAUCAUGGAGCAGAAAAAUUGGGAAACAAAUAUCUAUACAACAAAAAGGCCAACAAAAAUCUCAAAAGGAUAAAAAAUAGCUAGGAAUGGAGUCUCAGGCAAUCGAAAAGCGGGAUGUGGGUUGGCCAAGUGAUCUAUCAACUACACAGCGAAAUCGACCGACAGAUGUUGACCGAUGGACCUUUCACUAAAAUCGAUCGGAUUUCUUUGAUUGAUCUACUGGUCCCUUCGAUGGAGACAAUUUGGUAUAAGAAAAAGAGUUUAAGAGUAAAAAUGAGCAAAAAUACAUUAAAAAUAAGUUAAAUGGGCUAAAUUGAAGAAAAGUACCAUACUGGUCGAACUGGCGCCUAGACACCAAAUGCAAAAAUUGGGUGGCACCUAGGCCCGACAUUUGCGCACCUAGGCGCCACAGUUAUCUUCUAGAAGAUUUAUUGAAUGAGGCCGAAUUUUGAAGAGAUGUCUGAAGCAACCCUUGGUCAUUUUUGAAGCUCUAUAAAUACAGAUUAAUUCCAAGAGGCUAGGGGGUCAAAUCUAUAGAGUCAUAGUGGGUGAGUGUGUUAAGUGUGUGAGAAGUUUUCUUUUCUUUGUGAGUCUUUGUUAUUUUUGGAGUU